AUUGAACGCUGGCGGCAGGCUUAACACAUGCAAGUCGAACGAGUGGCGGACGGGUGAGUAAUGUCUGGGAACCUAGCUUAUGGAGGGGGAUAACUACUGGAAACUGUAGCUAAUACCGCAUACCAUCGGAUGAGCCCACGUGGGAUUAGGUAGUUGGUGUGGUAAAGGCUCACCAAGCCGACGAUCCCUAGCUGGUCUGAGAGGAUGAUCAUCUAAACUGGGACUGAGACACGGCCCAGAAUCAGAAGGGAGGCAGCAGUGGGGAAGAUUGCACAAUGGGAGCAAGCCUGAAGCAGACAUGCCGCGUGAAUGAAGAAGGCCUGCGGGUGGUAAAGUACUUUCAGUGGUGAGGCGUUAACUGCAGAAGAAGCACCGGCUAACUCCGUGACAGCAGCCGCGGUAAUUC
rnacentral:rRNA from 1 species